GUGUUUCCUAAGGAGACAUGACAAAAGCUCAGCAAUCACCUGAAACGCAGAUCUAAACUGGAUCAGCACACUUUUAAAAUGCACAGCUGAAAAACACAAACAGAUUCUGGACACAGUGGAGAAAACGAUGAACAUAAGAAAAAAUGGAACCAUGGCAACACAUGCAGUAAUACUGGAGAAAACAAGAACUAAAGUCAGUUCUUUGUUUUCAACAAGAUCUUCAAACGGUUGCCUUUGAACACAAGCUCUACACACCAAGCAAAGAAAGGAAAAAAUCAUGAUCUGCUUUGUCCACCUCACAGGAAGUGUCUGCGUACCUGAAAUUUGUUUAGCUGUCAGAUGACAAACUGUUGAAACGUUGGAAGUGUGGCAAAGAUUGAAGCUAGAUUCAAAUCUCCAGACAUUACUAACUGACUGGUAGUGUGUGCAGUUUGCCAAACAUUGAGCUGAUAAAAAUCAUAAACAUUUAUGGCCUUCAUUUGGUCCAUUUGAUCUACUGAGAUGUUGAGCUGUUGCCUAAAACCUAUUCAACAAAAACUAAGUAGAAACACUUUGAGAAUAAAUUCCAAAGAAGCAAAUAACAGCUGCUGUAUAUUUUAGACCUUUGAAAGCGUCUCAAUCUGUUGAAGAUGAAACUUUUUCAGAAAUACAAACCGUUUUGUAGCUCCAGGUAGACGCCCAGCAGGAUGGCUUCAGGCGGAAUCUCUUUAGAGUUCAUCACAGAUGCAGCCUGACAAACACAAAUAUAUCAAAAUGGAGAAAUAUUUCAAUAAGUUAAGAUUUGCUACCUAGCAACUAAAAUGUCAGCAAAAUGAGCCUUUAAUGCAAAAGUGAAAUUUUUAGUAGACAUGUCACUUCAGGCAUGAGAGUAUAUGUGACAGUUCUACACAACAACAUGAAGAGAGGAUAUUUAACUGUAGCUGUCUAGUGUGUGAUGACAAAAAGCACUUAUGGAUGAUUCUCCAUUGAUCAACUAAUUUAAAAACUUGAUUAUCCUAAUUUUAAUUUAGAUCCAAUUUUCAGAAGCAGAAAAUUGGAUGUAUUUUUGCAGCAACAAAAGAAAACUAGAAGUGUUUAGGGAUGAGUAUAGCUUUAGCUAAACAGCACAUUAUUUGAAAAAACUAAUACUGUGAUAUGAAUGCAAUAUGAAAAAACACAAUAUCAACAGAUGACUUGAAUAACACCUGAAGUCAUGCUGCAUCCGGCCAGCCUGUUACCCUAUUAGAGCUGGAAAUAUUAGAAAAUCUGGCAGUGGAGAAAUUAUUAGAAAAUAUAAAAUGUUUCUGUCCUGUCCAUCUCAUCUGUUCUUCCAUCAGUCUGUGACGGUUACGGAUGCUGCUAAAGGCGGCGUCCCACCACAGGACAGGUAGGGGUCCCUUCAUUCUGGGUGGAGAAUGAACCCUAACCCCAACCCUAACCCAUCGCCACUCCAGCAGGUCUCCUACCCCAGAUGGUAUCCAGAGAGUGGGGGUUUGGAAGGACCACCAGUCUCCCUUCACUCGUUCAAAUAUGGUGUUGAGGAGUGUUUUUUAAAUCAAUUUUUGUUCACUGACCCUAACUAAAUGGAGAAUAGACGGGAAAUGGGGACGAGAGAAAAGGGCGUUGCGUGUGUAACCCACGUUAAAAUGUCAUAAAUAGGAAUAAAUAGUUGAUUAAAAGUCUGUAAACAGAAAAUUGUAUCGCUGCCCCUUUAAGGGACCAGCGUCACAGCAGCAGCGUCAGCUGCAGCGUCACACAGGCCAGAGAGAGCGCGCAGAGGAGAGAGCAGUAAUUAAUCAACAGCAAAAGUUAUCAUUAUAGUUGAGAAACAUAAUUACCUGGUCGGGAACUGACAGGAAUUCUAUGAGAACUAAGCUACAUCGGUUUUGGUCAGGUUUUUUGGAAGCUCGGUCGGAGCCAGGAUUCAUCUGCCUUGUGCUGCGCGCACAUUCACGGAUGGGAUUCAAGAUGGCGAGCCAGACCCAGACCUUCCGUUCAUCUUCUGCAUCACAUUAAUUCGCUGCCAGGGCGAACUGAACUGAACAGAACUGAUCAUUUAUUGAAUUAUUAUUUUUGUUUUGGAUCGAGUCAACUAAGACUUUUCAUUGAACUGAAUAACUGAAUUCAUUUUCGGAUAUACUUUGAUUUCUAUAUAUUAUAUCUUUGAAUGUGAUUUGAACAAUUGUAUUUCAUUUUGGUUUGAUUGUGUUGGAGGUAUUUUCUUACCUGUAAAAGAAAGGAAGAUUAACUCAGAAAAAAUAGAAAUCUUGAAAUAGAUAUAAGCUAGGAAAUAAAAGAGAUCAGUCUAAUUAAAUUAGAUUAGUUUUACUAAAAUAAACUAGGUAAACUAAAGACCACAAAAGAAGAGUGAUAUACUCUUUAUUUAUUUUCUUCUAUUUUUUAGUUUCAUUUACCUCCUUAUUGAGAAUCUGCAGAGUUUCUUUGUUUAUGUGUUGCAUCUUAUUUGUGUGUUUUACAUUUAGUAAAUUGCCGGCCUAUUUCACUUAA